CCUGUCUCUAGAGGCUUUUCAGGAGUGGCUGCUGUCACAUGUGCAUCAGUGGGUGGCAGAGAGGAGAGAGCCCAUGUCCACACUCAGUGUUCUGACCUAUGAACAUCUGAAUGAACAGUAGCCUAAUAUU